CCUACCGAGCCUAGUUAUAGCUGGUUGCUUAAGAAAUGAAUGUUAGUUCAGCCUUAUGUAAUUCUAUAACCAAAACUUAUUAACAAAAAGAACAAAAGCAAUACAUAAGAGUUAGUCAAAGGGGGUACAGCCCCUUUGAAACAGAACACAACCUUAUUCAGGAGGACAAGGAUCAUACCAUAAAAGGACAAAAUUACCUCAGUGGGCCCAAAAGCAGCCACCUGUAAAGAAAGCGUUAAAGCUCCGGUAAAUACAGACCAAUAAUAAAGACAAUACACUCCCCACCCCCUAAAAAUAUUAAGCUAUCCUAUGCACACAUAGGAGAAACAAUGCUAAAAUCAGUAAUAAGAGGGCCCAAGCCCUCUCCUAGCACAUGUGUAAGUCAGAACGGACCGACCACUGACAAUUAACGGACCCAAACAGAGAGAAAAAGAACAAACUACAAAAAACAAGAAAAAUCUAUUUAAUACCACAAACCGUUAACCCAACACAGGAGUGCCUAAAGGAAAGACUAAAAGGAGAAGAAGGAACUCGGCAAACACAAACCCCGCCUGUUUACCAAAAACAUCGCCUCUUGCUAACAAAGGAAGUACUAGAGGUCCCGCCUGCCCUGUGACCACAAAGUUUAACGGCCGCGGUAUCCUGACCGUGCGAAGGUAGCGUAAUCAUUUGUCUUUUAAAUAGAGACCUGUAUGAAUGGCAUAACGAGGGUUUAACUGUCUCCUUCCCCUAGUCAAUGAAAUUGAUCUGCCCGUGCAGAAGCGGACAUAAAUACAUAAGACGAGAAGACCCUAUGGAGCUUUAGACAAAAGAUCAAACAUGUAAAGAAACCAAGUUAACCAAAAGGAACACAAAGGCCACGAAACCCGACGUAAACUGAUCCAAAUGUCUUCGGUUGGGGCGACCAUGGGGGAGAAAAAAGCCCCCACGAGGAACAGGGACUAAUCCCUAAGCCAAGAGAGACAUCUCUAAGCAACAGAAAAUCUGACCAAAAGUGACCCAGAAUACUAAUUCUGAUCAACGAACCAAGUUACCCUAGGGAUAACAGCGCAAUCCUUUCCC
rnacentral:rRNA from 1 species